rnacentral:rRNA from 1 species
AGAGUUUGAUCCUGGCUCAGGAUGAACGCUGGCGGCGUGCCUAAUACAUGCAAGUCGAGCGAACGGAYGAGAAGCUUGCUUCUCUGAUGUUAGCGGCGGACGGGUGAGUAACACGUGGAUAACCUACCUAUAAGACUGGGAUAACUUCGGGAAACCGGAGCUAAUACCGGAUAAUAUUUUGAACCGCAUGGUUCAAAAGURAAAGACGGUCUUGCUGUCACUUAUAGAUGGAUCCGCGCUGCAUUAGCUAGUUGGUAAGGUAACGGCUUACCAAGGCAACGAUGCAUAGCCGACCUGAGAGGGUGAUCGGCCACACUGGAACUGAGACACGGUCCAGACUCCUACGGGAGGCAGCAGUAGGGAAUCUUCCGCAAUGGGCGAAAGCCUGACGGAGCAACGCCGCGUGAGUGAUGAAGGUCUUCGGAUCGUAAAACUCUGUUAUUAGGGAAGAACAUAUGUGUAAGUAACUGUGCACAUCUUGACGGUACCUAAUCAGAAAGCCACGGCUAACUACGUGCCAGCAGCCGCGGUAAUACGUAGGUGGCAAGCGUUAUCCGGAAUUAUUGGGCGUAAAGCGCGCRUAGGCGGUUUUUUAAGUCUGAUGUGAAAGCCCACGGCUCAACCGUGGAGGGUCAUUGGAAACUGGAAAACUUGAGUGCAGAAGAGGAAAGUGGAAUUCCAUGUGUAGCGGUGAAAUGCGCAGAGAUAUGGAGGAACACCAGUGGCRAAGGCGACUUUCUGGUCUGUAACUGACGCUGAUGUGCGAAAGCGUGGGGAUCAAACAGGAUUAGAUACCCUGGUAGUCCACGCCGUAAACAA